rnacentral:misc_RNA from 1 species
GAUGAAGAACGCAGCGAAAUGCGAUAAGUAGUGUGAAUUGCAGAAUUCAGUGAAUCAUCGAAUCUUUGAACGCACAUUGCGCCCCUUGGUAUUCCAUGGGGCAUGCCUGUUCGAGCGUCAUUUCUGCCCUCGAGCGAGUCCAGCAUCUAGGUGCUGGGCCCGCCCGGCGUUGGGGCACUACGGGAAGCCCUGUGCUGUCCCCCGUAGGCCCCGAAAUGAAGUGGCGGUCCUGCCGCGGCGCCCCCUGCGUAGUAUAACAGCUCGCUUCGGGACCCGGUGGAGGCCUGCCGUCAAACCUUACUCUCUAAGUUUGACCUCGGAUCAGGUAGGGUUACCCGCUGAACUUAAGCAUAUCAAUAAGCGGAGGA